AUUGAACGCUGGCGGCAUGCCUUACACAUGCAAGUCGAACGGCAGCGGACCUUCGGGUGCCGGCGAGUGGCGAACGGGUGAGUAAUAUAUCGGAACGUACCUUUCAGUGGGGGAUAACGUAGCGAAAGUUACGCUAAUACCGCAUAUUCUGUGAGCAGGAAAGCAGGGGAUCGCAAGACCUUGCGCUGAUUGAGCGGCCGAUAUCAGAUUAGCUAGUUGGUGAGGUAAAGGCUCACCAAGGCGACGAUCUGUAGCGGGUCUGAGAGGAUGAUCCGCCACACUGGAACUGAGACACGGUCCAGACUCCUACGGGAGGCAGCAGUGGGGAAUUUUGGACAAUGGGCGCAAGACCUCGAUCCACGCCACUGCCGCGUCGAGUG
rnacentral:rRNA from 1 species